ACACAUGCAAGUCGAGGGGCAGCGGGAGGAGUGCUUGCACUUCUUGCCGGCGACCGGCGCACGGGUGAGUAACACGUAUGCAACCUGCCUCCGUCAGGGGGACAACCCGGCGAAAGCCGGGCUAAUCCCGCGUAUAUUCCGUGAGGGCAUCCUUACGGAAGGAAAGGUUUCGGCCGGACGGGGAUGGGCAUGCGGCGCAUUAGGUAGUCGGGGGUGUAACGGACCACCGAGCCGACGAUGCGUAGGGGUUCUGAGAGGAAGGUCCCCCACACUGGUACUGAGACACGGACCAGACUCCUACGGGAGGCAGCAGUGAGGAAUAUUGGUCAAUGGUCGGAAGACUGAACCAGCCAAGCCGCGUGAAGGAAGAAGGUGCUCGGCAUCGUAAACUUCUUUUGUCAGGGAACAAAGGGCGGUACGUGUACCGCUGUGAGUGUACCUGAAGAAAAAGCAUCGGCUAACUCCGUGCCAGCAGCCGCGGUAAUACGGAGGAUGCGAGCGUUAUCCGGAUUUAUUGGGUUUAAAGGGUGCGCAGGCGGCGCGGUAAGUCAGCGGUAAAAGCCCGGGGCUCAACCCCGGCGAGCCGUUGAAACUGCCGUGCUAGAGUAAGGUCGAGGUAUGCGGAAUGCGCGGUGUAGCGGUGAAAUGCAUAGAUAUCGCGCAGAACUCCGAUUGCGAAGGCAGCAUACCGGCCCUUUACUGACGCUCAGGCACGAAAGCGUGGGGAUCAAACAGGCUUAGAUACCCUGGUAGUCCACGCAGUAAACGAUGAAUACUGGGUGUUCGGAAUGUAGAUUCUGAGUGCCGAAGCGAAAGCGUUA
rnacentral:rRNA from 1 species